UGAGCAAUCUGCCCUUCUCAUCGGAAUAAGCGUUGGAAACGACGUCUAAUGCCGAAUACGACCUCCUUUCGCAUGAUCGGAGGUGGAAAGCUCCGGCGGAGAAGGAUGAGCUCGCGGCCUAUCAGCUAGUUGGUGUGGGUAACGGCCCACCAAGGCGACGACGGGUAGCCGGCCUGAGAGGGUGACCGGCCACACUGGGACUGAGACACGGCCCAGACUCCGUACGGGAGGNAG
rnacentral:rRNA from 1 species